UUCCUCCAUCUUUGUGUUUCUUCCUCUCUCUGUGAAGUGCAAAAACCUCUUUAUGUUUCUCUACAUCGAAACCCCUUCCUUCCUCUUUGUGUUUCGAAGAUCCUUUUCUUCAAUGUAGAGAAUAAAUACCGCUUUGGAAAGAGCUUUGACAUGAAGUUGAACAAAAAAUGCAAUGAUGGUCCUAAUAUUAGCAUGCCAUAUUUGCCAUACACAAUGUCCUCACAAAAUCAAAAGCUUUUGUAAAUGGCAGUGAAAGUGUCUGAAUAAAAAGUUGAUGGGAGAACUCCAUAUAAGCAUAACAGAAUAAACUAUGAGUACUCACAAACUUGGAUUAAAAGAAGGUUAUACUCUUGAUCUUAUUUUUUUUCAUUUAUUUUUCUAGGUGGUUGGGUCGGAUUUGAAGGCGAUUACGCUAUGCCCUUGUGUUUUUGUGUAUUGGACGAAUUGUGCUUUGUGCCAUCGCAAUUAUUGGCCAAAAGUCGAGGAGGACCGUUGGAGAGCUAUUCAACUUAAAUGCAGAAAAAGAUUCCCCCAUAAAGAAUAGAAAAAGAAAUUGAGUGCACGGCCAUAUCUUGUAUGCUAAUCAACUCAUUCACCCAAAAAGGAAUGGGUCCAGAUAGUAUAGCUUAUCAUUUCAAUCUGCAAUAUCAAACGCCAAAACCAGUAUUUUUCCAUUAACUACCCGAGACGCCAAGUCAGUGGCUGCAUAAAUAAGCAUAGAGGUGACGCUCUUCGUUAAGACCAGCCAGGACUUCACCAUCCCCAAGUAUCACCCCACAAAACCAACUUUUGAGACCGAUGAAGAAGAAGAAGAAGAAGAAGAAAACUAGAAAGGCGAAGAGAAGAAAGAUGGGGUGAGUUCGUAUUCUCAAGUUCCCCCGAGGAAAAUGGAGAACCGAAAAUAAGCUCUAGGCGGAAAGCAACUUACAACUUGGACUUGCAGGUACUAUGCUGACCGACUGGGGAUUACAAUUUUUUUUUUUUUCAAAUGUAACAGCUGACGUAGCAUACUGCCACGUCAGCCGACUGCCCGCAGUUUGCGAGUGGGGACUGCCUCUAGAAGAAUUGCUACAAUAUUGCCCACCCUGUUCUGUUCAAUCCAAGGUAGAAAAAGUGGCUUAAUUAGUUAGCAUAUUCAGGCAAACUCUGCUCCUUUCUUUUUAUAACAGACACUCUCCCAGCUUACAUGAACAGUUGGGUUGGGAUUCCA